GGAGUGUUUAUAGUCCUGUGAGUUUAACACUUCAUGACUGAGAGCUGUCCUUCAUGACAACAGAACCCACAACAACCAUGACUCUGAUCACCAUCUUCAUCUGGACUCUAGCUGUCUACAUACAGGAGUCCAGAGGACAGAUCACUGUGACUCAGACUCCUGCAGUGAAAGCUGUUCUCCCAAGACAGACUGUCUCUCUGCAGUGUAAAACCAGCAGUGAUGUGUUUGUGCAUGAAUCUAUUCCCCGUCUAGCCUGGUACCUCCAGAGACCUGGAGAAGCUCCUAAACUCCUCAUUUACUACGCUAAAACACUUCAGUCUGGGACCUCAUCUAGAUUCAGUGGUACAGGAUCACAUAGUGACUUCACUCUGACCAUCAGUGGAGUCCAGGCUGAAGAUGCAGGAGAUUACUACUGUCAGAGUUACCACAGUGGUGACGUGUUCACACAGUGA